GCAAAGGUAGCAUAAUCACUUGUUCUUUAAAUGAGGACUAGUAUCAACGGCAUCACGAGGAUCCUACUGUCUCCCCCCUCUAAUCAGUGAAACUGAUCUCCCCGUGAAGAAGCGGGGAUAUACAUAUAAGACGAGAAGACCCCAUGGAGCUUUAAACCUGACAGCACCCGCUCAUUCUAUACCCCAUUAUUUGCCCGACCCCUGUCUGCUCAGUUUUAGGUUGGGGUGACCACGGAGUAUAAAAUAACCUCCAUGAAGAAGGGGAUAUUUCCCUUAUUAGAGAACCACACUUCCAAGAACUAAUAAAUUAAUUUUCAAUGACCCGAUACCUGAUAAUCGAUCAACGAACCAAGUUACCCUGGGGAUAACAGCGCAAUCCACCCUGAAAGCCCUUAUUAACAG
rnacentral:rRNA from 1 species